GAUGAACGCUGGCGGCGUGCCUAAUACAUGCAAGUCGAGCGAACAGACGAGGAGCUUGCUCCUCUGACGUUAGCGGCGGACGGGUGAGUAACACGUGGCUAACCUACCUAUAAGACUGGGAUAACUUCGGUAAACCGGAGCUAAUACCGGAUAAUAUAUUGAACCGCAUGGUUCAAUAGUGAAAGACGGUUUUGCUGUCACUUAUAGAUGGAUCCGCGCCGCAUUAGCUAGUUGGUAAGGUAACGGCUUACCAAGGCAACGAUGCGUAGCCGACCUGGGAGGAUGAUCGGCCACACUGGAACUGAGACACGGUCCAGACUACUAAGGGAGGCAGCAGUAGGGAAUCUUCCACAAUGGGCGAAAGCCUGACGGAGCAACGCCGCGUGAGUGAUGAAGGUCUUCGGAUCGUAAAACUCUGUUAUUAGGGAAGAACAAAUGUGUAAGUAACUAUGCACGUCUUGACGGUACCUAAUCAGAAAGCCACGGCUAAAUACGUG
rnacentral:rRNA from 1 species